rnacentral:rRNA from 1 species
AAUGAACGUUGGCGGCGUGGAUUAGGCAUUGCAAGUCGAGCGAGAAGUUUUAGAAAGAUACCUCGGUUGAUUUCUGAAAUGGACAGCGGCGAAAGGGAGAGUAACGAGUAGAUACGUACCCAGGGGUUCGGAAUAGCGGGGGGAAACCGCCGGUAAUGCCGAAUAAUGUCUCCGGACCAAAAACUUAUUGCCCUUGGAUCGGUCUGCUUACUAUUAGCUUGUUGGUGGGGUAAUGGCCUACCAAGGCGAAGAUGGUUAGCGGGUGUGAGAGCAUGGCCCGUCUCACUGGGACUGAGACACUGCCCAGACACCUACGGGUGGCUGCAGUCGAGAAUCUUCCGCAAUGGACGAAAGUCUGACGGAGCGACGCCGCGUGCGGGAUGAAGGCCUUCGGGUUGUAAACCGCUGUCAGAGGGGAGCAAAUUUUGAGCGAUCCUCAGAGGAAGCACAGGCUAAGUUCGUGCCAGCAGCCGCGGUAAUACGAACUGUGCGAACGUUAUUCGGAAUCACUGGGCUUAAAGGGUGCGUAGGCGGGUUUGAAGGUCUGAUGUGAAAGCCCACGGAUCAACCGUGGAAUUGCGUUGGGAACCACAAGCCUUGAGGGAGUCAGAGGUGAGCGGAACUCACGGUGGAGCGGUGAAAUGCGUUGAUAUCGUGAGGAACACCGGUGGCGAAAGCGGCUCACUGGGACUCUUCUGACGCUGAGGCACGAAAGCCAGGGGAGCGAACGGGAUUAGAUACCCCGGUAGUCCUGGCUGUAAACGAUCAGCACUAGUCCGUGGGGACUCUCACAUCCU